UACAGAGGUCUCAAGCGUUGUUCGGAUUCAUUGGGCGUAAAGGGUGCGUAGGCGGCGCGGUAAGUCGGGUGUGAAAUUUCGGAGCUUAACUCCGAAACUGCAUUCGAUACUGCCGUGCUUGAGGACUGGAGAGGAGACUGGAAUUUACGGUGUAGCAGUGAAAUGCGUAGAGAUCGUAAGGAAGACCAGUGGCGAAGGCGGGUCUCUGGACAGUUCCUGACGCUGGAGACGCGAAAGCGUGGGGAGCGAACAGG
rnacentral:rRNA from 1 species